GUGGGGACAGACGCGCAAGCGCAGAGGACGCUGGGAAAGCAGCUCCCUCCCAGCGAAGGAGGUUGGUGGGCGGAGCUACGGAGGCCGAGAGGGACCGUUGCUGAGGCGGAGAACCAGGCGCGGAGAAUGAAGUAAAAGAAGGGAACGUGGCGGCGAAGGGAAGGCUGGAGCCCAAUUUGGCGCUUGGGGGUCACCGCCGCAGGAGGAACGGUGUCGAACGACAUCAGGAAGGCUGAGAACCGAACUGUUCUAGCGGGUCCCUUUCUCUCCUUUGGGGGAAAAUCCACGAGGCGGUGCCUGGAGAGGAGAAGGCGGGGCUUCGCAGGAAGGAGGGGCUGGUAUAUGGAGCGCCUUCACUUUCGGAACCAGAGAGCUGACGGAGGGAGCGGUUCGCUUCGGAGGCGGAGAAACCGGAAGAGGACGGAGGAGCCCGGCGGGGGAGGGAAGCGCCGCCCGAGAGGAGGAGGAGGAGAGCGGGCCCCGCGGAGGAGCCCCGGGAGACGGCGGGGAAAGGCCGGGGGGCUCCGGAGCUGCAGGAGGGAUGAGCCCAGGGGGAGCCCGGGAAAGGCGGCUGCCUGGAGGGCGAUGCGGGGAGGAGGAAACGGGCGGAGACGCCGAGACGGGCCUGGAGGGCGGUGGGUCCUUCGGAAGACCCCGGAAUCCCCAAAGGAUCCAGGAGGAAGAAGAGAGAUAUCAGUGCCCGGAAUGUGAAAAAUUCUUCAAGAGAAAUGUGUAUCU